rnacentral:rRNA from 1 species
CGGGGCUAAACCAUGCACCGAAGCUGCGGCAGCGACGCUUAUGCGUUGUUGGGUAGGGGAGCGUUCUGUAAGCCUGCGAAGGUGUGCUGUGAGGUAUGCUGGAGGUAUCAGAAGUGCGAAUGCUGACAUAAGUAACGAUAAAGCGGGUGAAAAGCCCGCUCGCCGGAAGACCAAGGGUUCCUGUCCAACGUUAAUCGGGGCAGGGUGAGUCGACCCCUAAGGCGAGGCCGAAAGGCGUAGUCGAUGGGAAACAGGUUAAUAUUCCUGUACUUGGUGUUACUGCGAAGGGGGGACGGAGAAGGCUAUGUUGGCCGGGCGACGGUUGUCCCGGUUUAAGCGUGUAGGCUGAUUUUCCAGGCAAAUCCGGAAAAUCAAGGCUGAGGCGUGAUGACGAGGCACUACGGUGCUGAAGCAACAAAUGCCCUGCUUCCAGGAAAAGCCUCUAAGCAUCAGGUAACAUCAAAUCGUACCCCAAACCGACACAGGUGGUCAGGUAGAGAAUACCAAGGCGCUUGAGAGAACUCGGGUGAAGGAACUAGGCAAAAUGGUGCCGUAACUUCGGGAGAAGGCACGCUGAUAUGUAGGUGAAGCGACUUGCUCGUGGAGCUGAAAUCAGUCGAAGAUACCAGCUGGCUGCAACUGUUUAUUAAAAACACAGCACUGUGCAAACACGAAAGUGGACGUAUACGGUGUGACGCCUGCCCGGUGCCGGAAGGUUAAUUGAUGGGGUUAGCGGUAACGCGAAGCUCUUGAUCGAAGCCCCGGUAAACGGCGGCCGUAACUAUAACGGUCCUAAGGUAGCGAAAUUCCUUGUCGGGUAAGUUCCGACCUGCACGAAUGGCGUAAUGAUGGCCAGGCUGUCUCCACCCGAGACUCAGUGAAAUUGAACUCGCUGUGAAGAUGCAGUGUACCCGCGGCAAGACGGAAAGACCCCGUGAACCUUUACUAUAGCUUGACACUGAACAUUGAGCCUUGAUGUGUAGGAUAGGUGGGAGGCUUUGAAGUGUGGACGCCAGUCUGCAUGGAGCCGGCCUUGAAAUACCACCCUUUAAUGUUUGAUGUUCUAACGUUGGCCCCUGAUCGGGGUUGCGGACAGUGUCUGGUGGGUAGUUUGACUGGGGCGGUCUCCUCCUAAAGAGUAACGGAGGAGCACGAAGGUUGGCUAAUCCUGGUCGGACAUCAGGAGGUUAGUGCAAUGGCAUAAGCCAGCUUGACUGCGAGCGUGACGGCGCGAGCAGGUGCGAAAGCAGGUCAUAGUGAUCCGGUGGUUCUGAAUGGAAGGGCCAUCGCUCAACGGAUAAAAGGUACUCCGGGGAUAACAGGCUGAUACCGCCCAAGAGUUCAUAUCGACGGCGGUGUUUGGCACCUCGAUGUCGGCUCAUCACAUCCUGGGGCUGAAGUAGGUCCCAAGGGUAUGGCUGUUCGCCAUUUAAAGUGGUACGCGAGCUGGGUUUAGAACGUCGUGAGACAGUUCGGUCCCUAUCUGCCGUGGGCGCUGGAGAACUGAGGGGGGCUGCUCCUAGUACGAGAGGACCGGAGUGGACGCAUCACUGGUGUUCGGGUUGUCAUGCCAAUGGCACUGCCCGGUAGCUAAAUGCGGAAGAGAUAAGUGCUGAAAGCAUCUAAGCACGAAACUUGCCCCGAGAUGAGUUCUCCCUGAGACUUAGAGUCUCCUGAAGGAACGUUGAAGACGACGACGUUGAUAGGCCGGGUGUGUAAGCGCAGCGAUGCGUUGAGCUAACCGGUACUAAUGAACCGUGAGG